CACGGAGCCAGAGCAGCCGCGGGAUCCGUGUCCCUCUCGCCUCUCCCACAUAGACGGCGGCGCGGCCGUCUCAGGCUCCUCGCGCCGCCCUUCAUCAUCGUUGCGCAAACCCGAACCAGGGCCGGCAGCCACCCCACGGAGCACGCGCCACCUCUACUUGUAGAGACGACAGGAGAGUAAGGUUACCCAUUGAUCAUCAACGUAAAGAGGGAAUUGUCAACCAGCUACGAAGACCACUGUAGAAAUUGUAUAGACCGUAGACCCAGAACAAUAAUAGGUGCCUUUAUUUAUUUUAUUUAUUAAUUAUAAUUGUGACUUUUUUCAGCCCAAAAAAGGGAUUAUCUCUAUUCCAUAUUUGUUUGGAACACAAUGUUCUGGGAAACUCACAAGAACAAGCCCCCACUUUAGGGAUGCAAGGAAGCUUAUAUCCUUCUAGUUCAUUUGAGGAUUUCUAGUUAAGUUGAGACAAUUUUGAACUAGAAAUUCUCAAAUUAACUACAAGCGAGGUAUAAGUUUGAUCCUGCUUGACACCCUAUUUUUAUGGAGGGUGCUUGGACAAAUUAAGUGGACCCUAGAAGUAUCAACGACAGUCCGAACCCA